rnacentral:tRNA from 1 species
GGUUAUGGCUCAGUGAUAGAGCACUUGCCUAGCAUGUGUGAGGUCCUGGGUUCAAUCCUCAGCACCA